AUUAGAUGAGCCUGCGUAAGAUUAGCUAGUUGGUAAGGGUAAAGGCCUACCAAGGCGACGAUUCUUUAGCUGUUCUGAGAGGAUGAUCAGCCACACGUGGGACUGAGACACCGGCCCAGACUCCGUACGGGAGGCAGCAGGUGGGGAAUAUUGGACAAGUGGGGCAACCCUGAUCCAGCCAUGCCGCGUGUGUGAAGAAGGCCUUCGGGUUGUAAAGCACUUUCAGUGGGGAGGAAAGGUUGCAGGUUAAUACCCUGUAGCUGUGACGUUACCCACAGAAGAAGCACCGGCUAACUUCGUG
rnacentral:rRNA from 1 species